UUAUAAGGAAAAUGGAGACAAGAAAAUCCACAGACACUAUGAAAGACCACUGAGCAGGGAGACCCUCACUCAAGUCUCGGGAUGAUUCGACCCCCCAAGAACUCUCAAGAGACU
rnacentral:pre_miRNA from 14 species